rnacentral:rRNA from 1 species
GACGAACGCUGGCGGCGUGCUUAACACAUGCAAGUCGAACGCUGAAGCUCAGCUUUUGUUGGGUGGAUGAGUGGCGAACGGGUGAGUAACACGUGAGUAACCUGCCUCCUUCUUUGGGAUAACGCCCGGAAACGGGUGCUAAUACUGGAUAUUCACUGGUCUUCGCAUGGGGGUUGGUGGAAAGGGUUUUUCUGGUGGGGGAUGGGCUCGCGGCCUAUCAGCUUGUUGGUGGGGUGAUGGCCUACCAAGGCUUUGACGGGUAGCCGGCCUGAGAGGGUGACCGGUCACAAUGGGGGCGAGAUACGGGCCAGAAUGCCACGGGGGGGAGCAGGGGGGGAGAGUGGCGCAUGGGGGGAAGGCUGAUGCCGCGACGGCGGCGGAGGGGUGGAGGGCUUCGGGUUGUGAACCUCUUUCGCUCAUGGUCAAGCCGCAACAAUGGUUGUGGUGAGGGUAGUGGGUAAAGAAGCGCCGGCUAACUACGUG